GUAGCACAGAGAGCUGCUCUCGGGUGACGAGCGGCGACGGGUGAGUAAUGUCUGGGAAACUGCCUGAUGGAGGGGGAUAACUACUGGAAACGGUAGCUAAUACCGCAUAACGUCGCAAGACCAAAGUGGGGGACCUUCGGGCCUCAUGCCAUCAGAUGUGCCCAGAUGGGAUUAGCUGGUAGGUGGGGUAACGGCUCACCUAGGCGACGAUCCCUAGCUGGUCUGAGAGGAUGACCAGCCACACUGGAACUGAGACACGGUCCAGACUCCUACGGGAGGCAGCAGUGGGGAAUAUUGCACAAUGGGCGCAAGCCUGAUGCAGCCAUGCCGCGUGUGUGAAGAAGGCCUUCGGGUUGUAAAGCACUUUCAGCGGGGAGGAAGGCGGUGAGGUUAAUAACCUCAUCGAUUGACGUUACCCGCAGAAGAAGCACCGGCUAACUCCGUGCCAGCAGCCGCGGUAAUACGGAGGGUGCAAGCGUUAAUCGGAAUUACUGGGCGUAAAGCGCACGCAGGCGGUCUGUCAAGUCGGAUGUGAAAUCCCCGGGCUCAACCUGGGAACUGCAUUCGAAACUGGCAGGCUAGAGUCUUGUAGAGGGGGGUAGAAUUCCAGGUGUAGCGGUGAAAUGCGUAGAGAUCUGGAGGAAUACCGGUGGCGAAGGCGGCCCCCUGGACAAAGACUGACGCUCAGGUGCGAAAGCGUGGGGAGCAAACAGGAUUAGAUACCCUGGUAGUCCACGCUGUAAACGAUGUCGAUUUGGAGGUUGUGCCCUUGAGGCGUGGCUUCCGGAGCUAACGCGUUAAAUCGACCGCCUGGGGAGUACGCCCGCAAGGUUAAAACUCAAAUGAAUUGACGGGGGCCCGCACAAGCGGUGGAGCAUGUGGUUUAAUUCGAUGCAACGCGAAGAACCUUACCUGGUCUUGACAUCCACAGAACUUUCCAGAGAUGGAUUGGUGCCUUCGGGAACUGUGAGACAGGUGCUGCAUGGCUGUCGUCAGCUCGUGUUGUGAAAUGUUGGGUUAAGUCCCGCAACGAGCGCAACCCUUAUCCUUUGUUGCCAGCGGUUAGGCCGGGAACUCAAAGGAGACUGCCAGUGAUAAACUGGAGGAAGGUGGGGAUGACGUCAAGUCAUCAUGGCCCUUACGACCAGGGCUACACACGUGCUACAAUGGCAUAUACAAAGAGAAGCGACCUCGCGAGAGCAAGCGGACCUCAUAAAGUAUGUCGUAGUCCGGAUUGGAGUCUGCAACUCGACUCCAUGAAGUCGGAAUCGCUAGUAAUCGUAGAUCAGAAUGCUACGGUGAAUACGUUCCCGGGCCCUUGUACA
rnacentral:rRNA from 1 species